UGAUUAUCUCAUAAAGGACACCGAAAGAAAAAUAAAAUAGUUAUUAAUUGAUAUAUUUCUAAUCAAAUGUAAUAAAAAAAUUCUAACAAAAGAAAGAAGAAAAGAUAGGAGAAAGAGUUUGAUGGUGGUAGCUGGUGGAGGAGAAACAGAAACAGAAGAACCCUAAUGUUUAUGUUCAUAAAGAAAAAUUAGCGGUCAAUUAACAUGAAGGAACAAUGAGAUUCAUAAAA
rnacentral:lncRNA from 1 species